rnacentral:rRNA from 1 species
AUUGAACGCUGGCGGCAUGCUUUACACAUGCAAGUCGAACGGUAACAGGUUAAGCUGACGAGUGGCGAACGGGUGAGUAAUGCAUCGGAACGUGCCCGGUCGUGGGGGAUAACGCAGCGAAAGCUGCGCUAAUACCGCAUACGAACUGAGGAUGAAAGCGGGGGACCGGAGGGCCUCGCGCGAUCGGACCGGCCGAUGCCAGAUUAGGUAGUUGGGGGGGUAAAGGCUCACCAAGCCGACGAUCUGUAGCUGGUCUGAGAGGACGACCAGCCACACUGGGACUGAGACACGGCCCAGACUCCUACGGGAGGCAGCAGUGGGGAGUUUUGGACAAUGGGCGCAAGCCUGAUCCAGCAAUGCCGCGUGCAGGAAGAAGGCCUUCGGGUUGUAAACUGCUUUUGUACGGAGCGAAAAGGCUCUCUCUAAUACAGGGGGCUCAUGACGGUACCGUAAGAAUAAGCACCGGCUAACUACGUGCCAGCCGCCGCGGUAA